GACGGAGGAUGCAAGUGUUAUCCGGAAUCACUGGGCGUAAAGCGUCUGUAGGUGGUUUAACAAGUCCACUGUUAAAAAUUGAAGCUUAACUUCAAAGAUGCCGUGGAAACUUUUAAACUUGAGUAUGGUAGGGGUAGAGGGAAUUUCCAGUGGAGCGGUGAAAUGCGUAGAUAUUGGAAAGACCACCAAUGGCGAAGGCACUCUACUGGGCCAUUACUGACACUGAGAGACGAAAGCUAGGGGAGCAAAUGGG
rnacentral:rRNA from 1 species